GAGGCUGUAGCUCAUUGGUAAAGCUUUUGCCUCGCAUGCUGAGGCACUGAGUUCAAUCCUCAGCACCACA
rnacentral:tRNA from 1 species